GGGUCACUAGCACAAUGGUAGUGCAGUUGCUUUGCAAGCAUCAGGUUAAGGGUUCGAGUCCCUUGUGUAUCCA
rnacentral:tRNA from 2 species